CCAUCUCUUGCGACUUUACCGCCGCCUUCCAACAGCACCGCUCUGUCACCCAUUAUCCUGCCGACCCUUUUUUUCCCUUGUGCCCUCUCAUCUCAACGUGUCCUCAUCUUGCCCUCCUCCCAACACGGCUCUCUCGACAUGCAGCGAAGCCGGCAGGACACAUUGGAGUGAGACACGCCCAGGGCAAACAGACACACAUCUACACCUAGAGCAAAAAAGUCGGCGCCAUGUCCGCUAACGCCAACUCCCCUGCGCCCACGGCUCCUUCCCGGAGGGUGCCAGCUGCAGCAACAAUGUUGGAGGAGAGCUCGUCUACGCCGACGCACACGACUGUGAAUCACACCUUCAAGGAGCUAUGCGACUCGUACGUGGAGAAAUCGAUGCCGCACAGAUACCAUGUCGCGCACCAAUGCUCGCUGCAGGCACGCCGAUCUGUCAACGCCCAGACCACCAGCGUCGCCAAGGGCCAGGCACCAGCAGCUGCGGCGGCAUCACCCUCCCUGACGGUGCCGCCCGAGCUGGUGCGAGAGUACGCGCGCAUGAAGGAAGAGGCACUCGCGCACUGCCAUCGCCAGAACGCCCCCGUGGACAUCUCAGCGCGGAGCACGGAGGAGUUGGAGGUCGAGAAUGCAUACUUGCGCUCGCUCGUGCUGUGGCUGGAGAGGCAUCUUCAGCGUCUCCCCUCGCUCGAGACGCAACCGGGCGAAGUCGUGUCUACUCUGCCCUCCCCCCGCCCCGUUCCGCAGCGCGAAGGCUCGCUCACCACCGAGCACCGGCUCAGCCCGUCUGCGGUGCGCCCCGAGCCAGUCGCCAAACAUGCAGUGGACCAGUACAACUCGCUUAUGCUUCGAAGCGGUUCAGAGGCGUCGCCUCCCCCAGCCACGGCGCAGCAAGUGAGCGAGUUGCAGGAGCAGAUUGACCUCCUGCGCGAGGCGGUUCGGGGGCUUAGUCAACGAGCCUCCGUUACGGGGGGACACUCCUCCAGUCCUGUGCCCACUGACGCCGCUGCGCUAUCGAUGCGGCUGCACACCGUUUCCCCGUUGCCUCGCUGCGCUACCCCAACCUGCACGACAGACGUGCGGACGCUGCAGCGGAUUAUCCUGCACCAACAACAGACUAUUCGCACCCUGCAGCAGGAGAUGGAGGACGUCCACACAGCCAAAGCGCAGAUGGAACAGGCAAUGACGCAGCUGCGCGAGGCCACGGCCACCAUCGCCGCACGCGAGGAGGGCUGCACAGAGGACGAGGAAGUGGGUGCGCUUGGUGCCACGGCGCAUUGGCGCUCCACAUGUGAGACGGAGGAUCGCAUCUCUGGCUGCGUUUCACUUGCUGAUGCAGCCUCGUAUGGCUAUGCAGGACAGGAUGCCGCGGAUGCUGCCGGCCACGCCACCGCAGCCGGGGCUGCCGGUGAGGGCAGGGCAGCGCAGGAGAUGCGCAAGAUAGAUCUAGAAGCCGCGGUGGAGCAAGCACCAGAGAAACGGCGGGCUGCCACGUUUGGCGGAAUGCGCCCACCGCUGUGGUUCGACUCCAACACGUCGUUGGCAGAUCCCAUUCGGCUGCUCGGUGGGGCGGCGGGAGAGGACGAGGACGUGGAUGAGCCAUCCAGCGGCAUGCGGACUCCGCUGCCGCGUCGCACGGUGCUGCUUCAUCAGCGCUUCUCCUCGGCCACCGGCGACACGUCAUCUAUGUGGGGCGGCGCCGGCGUUGAGGAGAGCCCGUUCACCCAGCACACGCAGAUGAGCUGCGGCACGGCGUCGAAUCGCCGCACUUCCGCGGCUGGCUCUUUUGCCUCCCUGUGAGCCACACAACGAUGCAGUCCAGUGGGUGAUCUCUCGCUCGCCUCCUUGCUCGGCUGUCACACCUUCGACAUGCCCCCCCCUCUCCCCCCGCUGCGUACAGGGAGGAGGGGGGUUCGGGCAGUCGCGACACCGUGUACUGUCUCUCGCCCUCUUCCUCUGUUUCCUUGCGAUGCUUCCAUUAUUAGAGUUCACGUGCCCGUUUCGUUCUUCUCGUCUUCCUCUCGCCCCCGUUUGUGCUGUUUUCACGCUUCUUCAGCGGACUGCGUGACUGCACCGCGAUCAAGCUUUUUUUUUUGCGUUAUUUGUUUGUUGCUCGUUCGUCUUUGGUUUCGCCUUCGCGUUGCGCUACAACACCACAAGCACACGAAAGACACGACGACAACACACAGAGGCACAGAGAGAGAGAGACGGAGGAGGAGGGCGAGAGUUGGGGAGGGGGCGAGCGGAAAGCGACUAGGUCGGGAAAAGCAGCCGUGGAGACAGCUUCUUCACCUUCACACACCCCCGCCUCCCCACCCCAUCCCCAACACCCCCACGUAACCACACACCAUCAUUUUAUACGUUAGAUGCACCCCCACUCGACUUUUUUUUUGCGCCUUCAGUACAUUUGCCCCCUUUAUUCUGUCUGUGUGCGUAGGAUGUGAGCGUUGCGAAGGCGCCGCUGUGCAUAUACAUCUAUAUCUAUCUAUAUAUAGUUCUUCCUCCCUCUCUUGUCCCUUUCGUCUGUCGACCUGUGAUGUCAUGGUCAUCUUUCUCUGGAGCCGCGGUGGCGAGAUAGAGCACCUCUUCUCAUCCUUUGCUUUGUUGUCUGCGGCCAUCGCUCUUGCGAGGCCCUCUAGGGCGGCGCGGCGGUUCGUGCACGUGACGUGUGAGAGGGCGUGUAUCGAGCUGGUGCGUGCGUUUGAGAGACCAAAGUGAACAUGCGCCGUGUUGCAACAGCUUGUGUGGCGUCUCUAUCUGUGUGUUUGUGUGCGCGUACAUGUUCAUGUUUUAGCGGUGUGAACGAUUUGUUACUCGUGUGCUCACGUCGUUUAAAACCGGCACGCCAACUGCAUUUUGAGGAAAGGACUUGCCGCGGUCUGGACAUGCCUGCCUGCCAAUCACGCGUGUACGCUUGCAAGCACUUCACGCUCAGCAGCUGCGACGUAGAUGACAGGUUUGAGUUUUUAUUGUUAUUUUUCGCAUUCCUGAGGCGGCGUCAAACCCCGGGAGCUCAGAUACGGUUACGCAAGGAAC
rnacentral:misc_RNA from 1 species